GACGAACGCUGGCGGCGUGCUUAACACAUGCAAGUCGAACGGAAAGGCCCUGCUUUUGUGGGGUGCUCGAGUGGCGAACGGGUGAGUAACACGUGAGUAACCUGCCCUUGACUUUGGGAUAACUUCAGGAAACUGGGGCUAAUACCGGAUAGGAGCUCCUGCUGCAUGGUGGGGGUUGGAAAGUUUCGGCGGUUGGGGAUGGACUCGCGGCUUAUCAGCUUGUUGGUGGGGUAGUGGCUUACCAAGGCUUUGACGGGUAGCCGGCCUGAGAGGGUGACCGGCCACAUUGGGACUGCGAUACGGCCCAGACUCCUACGGGAGGCAGCAGUGGGGAAUAUUGCACAAUGGGCGGAAGCCUGAUGCAGCCACGCCGCGUGCGGGAUGACGGCCUUCGGGUUGUAAACCGCUUUCGCCUGUGACGAAGCGUGAGUGACGGUAAUGGGUAAAGAAGCACCGGCUAACUACGUG
rnacentral:rRNA from 1 species